rnacentral:lncRNA from 1 species
CCCUGUCUAACCUGGAACUGUACCAGCUGACCAAUGGUGUGAAAGAUCCAGAGGCCAUGCCAAGCAUUGCAAACAGCCCUCUUGGAACAAGGCUGUGGAGGGCAGAUCAGAUGCCGUUGAUUCAUCAUCGUGAGUUGCCUACCAUCAGUAGUAAGUCAGGAUCCAUGGCUGAAGUUCCGAAGCUCCAUGGUCUUGCUCCAAAAGCUGCGUACCUCCAGCCCAGCCCACAAAAGGCCUUCCCACCCCAGGGUGCACAUUCUGUCCAGCAGCUGGAAGAGCCAAAAGCCUAUCCACAGCCACUCCUAGAGCCCAGUAGUGGCACCCCAUUUCAGGUGUUCAUUGCCAGAUACAGGCAAGAGUUUGAACCACCACUUCAUUUAAUGACCAUUCAGAGUGUUGUGCACUUUCAGGCACAGUAGUUUAUUCUAUGAUUUUGGUUUUCUACAGCUACAACCCAUAUGAUGGUCCUAAUGACAGACCAGACUUGGAGCUGCCACUAACUGCAGGGGAAUAUGUAUACAUCUAUGGUGACAUGGAUAAGGAUGGCUUUUAUAAAGGUGCUUUUAGGAUGCUGUAUUU